rnacentral:rRNA from 1 species
UAAUCACUUGUUCUUUAAAUGAGGACUCGUAUCAAUGGCACCACGAGGACUUUACUGUCUCCUUUUUCUAAUCAGUGAAACUAAUCUUCCCGUGAAGAAGCGGGAAUAAAUAGAUAAGACGAGAAGACCCCAUGGAGCUUUAAGCUUACUGCACCUCUAUUUUCUAUAACCUCUUAUUAAACGGAAUACUGCUUACUUAGCUUUAGGUUGGGGUGACCGCGGAGUAUAACAUAACCUCCAUGAUGAACAAAACUAUUUUCUUAUCUAAGAACAACAGUUCUAAGAAUUAGUAUUCUAACAUAAAAUGAUCCGAUAAUCGAUCAACGGACUAAGUUACCCUGGGGAUAACAGCGCAAUCCAUUUCAAGAGCCCCUAUCGACAAAUGGGUUUACGACCUCGAUGUUGGAUCAGGAUAUCCUAGUGGUGCAGCAGCUACUGAAGGUUCGUUUGUUCAACGAUUAAAAUCCU